GACGUAGGGCGCGAGCGUUGUCCGGAUUUAUUGGGCGUAAAGAGCUCGUAGGCGGCUUGUCGCGUCGUCCGUGAAAACUUGGGGCUCAACCCCAAGCUUGCGGUCGAUACGGGCAGGCUGGAGUUUGGUAGGGGAGACUGGAAUUCCUGGUGUAGCGGUGAAAUGCGCAGAUAUCAGGAGGAACACCGGUGGCGAAGGCGGGUCUCUGGGCCGACACUGACGCUGAGACACGAAAGCGUGGGUAGCAAACAGG
rnacentral:rRNA from 1 species